GACGAACGCUGGCGGCGUGCUUAACACAUGCAAGUCGAACGGAAAGGCCCUGCUUUUGUGGGGUGCUCGAGUGGCGAACGGGUGAGUAACAAGUGAGUAACCUGCCCUUGACUUUGGGAUAACUUCAGGAAACUGGGGCUAAUACCGGAUAGGAGCUCCUGCUGCAUGGUGGGGGUUGGAAAGUUUCGGCGGUUGGGGAUGGACUCGCGGCUUAUCAGCUUGUUGGUGGGGUAGUGGCUUACCAAGGCUUUGACGGGUAGCCGGCCUGAGAGGGUGACCGGCCACAUUGGGACUGAGAUACGGCCCAGACUCCUACGGGAGGCAGCAGUGGGGAAUAUUGCACAAUGAGCGGAAGCCUGAUGCAGCAACGCCGCGUGCGGGAUGACGGCCUUCGGGUUGUAAACCGCUUUCGCCUGUGACGAAGCGUGAGUGACGGUAAUGGGUAAAGAAGCACCGGCUAACUACGUG
rnacentral:rRNA from 1 species